GCUUGUGUCAUGACCUAUAUUACCGGUUCAUGCCACGAACGGGACUAGAAGUUCACCUUUAGUCCCGGUUCUUGUAACUAACCGGGACUACAGAUAUCAUUAUAUAUAGUUCUUCUUCUAGCCCGAGCUGAAGUCCUCUGUUUUUCCCUCCUCUUUGUUUUCUUCCCAUCUUGCUCGAGCUCCCACCUCCAUUUUUGCCAAAAAAAUUCAACAUUUGAAGGCAACCCAUCCAUCCAAGUGAUCACAAAGGUGUGGUUUACUUAGUGCCUUCCCGUCUGCGUCCUAACCACCGCCAAUCGCCCGCACCACCUUGUGGAGGUAUAUGUGAACCGGAAAUUCCAACCAACCCUAUUG